GACCUCUAACCUCCGGGCUCAACCCCGAGCCCGGUCCCGAACUGGGCGCCUCGAGUGCGGUAGGGGAGAUCGGAAUUCCCGGUGUAGCGGUGGAAUGCGCAGAUAUCGGGAAGAACACCGAUGGCGAAGGCAGAUCUCUGGGCCGCCACUGACGCUGAGGCGCGAAAGCUAGGGGAGCGAACA
rnacentral:rRNA from 1 species